GAUGAACGCUGGCGGCGUGCCUAAUACAUGCCAGUCGAGCGAACAGACGAGGAGCUUGCUCCUCUGACGUUAGCGGCGGACGGGCGAGUAACACGUGGAUAACCUACCUAUAAGACUGGGAUAACUUCGGGAAACCGGAGCUAAUACCGGAUAAUAUAUUGAACCGCAUGGUUCAAUAGUGAAAGACGGUUUUGCUGUCACUUAUAGAUGGAUCCGCGCCGCAUUAGCUAGUUGGUAAGGUAACGGCUUACCAAGGCAACGAUGCGUAGCCGACCUGAGAGGGUGAUCGGCCACACUGGAACUGAGACACGGUCCAGACUCCUACGGGAGGCAGCAGUAGGGAAUCUUACGCAAUGGGCGAAAGCCUGACGGAGCAACGCCGCGUGAGUGAUGAAGGUCUUCGGAUCGUAAAACUCUGUUAUUAGGGAAGAACAAAUGUGUAAGUAACUAUGCACGUCUUGACGGUACCUAAUCAGAAAGCCACGGCUAACUACGUG
rnacentral:rRNA from 1 species